rnacentral:rRNA from 1 species
UCGAGAAUCUUCGGCAAUGGACGCAAGUCUGACCGAGCGACGCCGCGUGCGGGAUGAAGGCCUUCGGGUUGUAAACCGCUGUCAGUGGGGAGGAAGGCUCCGUGAAGAGCGGGGUUUGACCUAUCCGCAGAGGAAGUGAGGGCUAAGCUCGUGCCAGCAGCCGCGGUAAGACGAGCCUCACAAACGUUAUUCGGAAUUACUGGGCUUAAAGGGUGCGUAGGCGGCGCGGAAAGUUGGGUGUGAAAUCCCUCGGCUCAACCGAGGAAUUGCGCUCAAAACUACCGUGCUAGAGGGAGAUAGAGGAAUGCGGAACUUAGGGUGGAGCGGUGAAAUGCGUUGAUAUCCUAGGGAACACCGGUGGCGAAAGCGGCAUUCUGGAUCUCAUCUGACGCUGAUGCACGAAAGCUAGGGUAGCAAACGG